UACGGAGGAUGCAAGCGUUAUCCGGAAUGAUUGGGCGUAAAGCGUCCGCAGGUGGCUAUGUGUGUCUGCUGUUAAAGAGUCUAGCUUAACUAGAUAAAGGCAGUGGAAACUACAUGGCUAGAGUGCGUUCGGGGCAGAGGGAAUUCCUGGUGUAGCGGUGAAAUGCGUAGAGAUCAGGAAGAACACCGGUGGCGAAGGCGCUCUGCUAGGCCAAAACUGACACUGAGGGACGAAAGCUAGGGGAGCGAAUGGG
rnacentral:rRNA from 1 species